GUAAAGCAAAGGAGCACACUGUGAUUUAAAUAACAUCUUGUUCAUGUUAUAGGUGAAUUAUGUUGUUUUGAAAUGCACGCCAUUUAACUCUGAUGUUUGCAUAUUUGCUUUGUUUAUGCAGUGGAUCAGAAAUCCACACAGUGAACCACCAUCAGAACAGUACUAUGUUUAUACAAAGAAAUGUGGACCAAUCUUAAUAGAAUAUGCAAAGAAUGGCUGGCGGAUCUUACUUGGAAUACUCUUUACAUUGGCAACUAUUGAGGUUGCAGCUGUUGUAGCUGUCUUGUUGCUUUGGUAUAAACUUCACACGCGGUCACCAGGUACAAGUCUGUCUGAGGAUAACAACAGCAGGAUGAAGUAUGAGCUCCAGCCGGAAAAAAGGCUCUGACAGGAUCUAAUCCUAAGCACAUAACCUCGUCCCUGCAUGAGUGAGCUCUAUAACCUCAACAUAACAAACUUAUGUGACAUUUUAAAUGCAAGUAGGCUAACACUUUGUGGGGCAGUUACCCACCUUGUGCUGGCAAACAUACAGUAUAAGGAAGUUCCACUAAUAGUGCAGAAAAAAAAUCAAAUUUUUAUUCACAGAUAAAUGAACAAUCAUUCAGCAAUCACAUGGCAGCUAGUUUUAUUUCUACAGUUUGUGGUGCAUAUCUGCUGAACCAAAAGGUAGCCCGAAAAAAAAAAAAAACGUAGGCUACAAAACACCUGACUUAAACUGACUUAUUGAAACUAAAGAGGUUUUUUAAAUCCGUGUAAAUACUGAACAAACCAAAUUUGUUAGUGUUCUACUAAUCUAAUCUUAGCACUGAAGAAAAACUGUAAAGCAUGAUUAACACUAUGAACUGCUACGUUUAAAGUCAUUAAGGUCUUUCAUCUCUGCACUCAAAAUCUCCAGCCCAUGUUCUACUUUCACGCAGUCUAUUUACAUCAAACGUGUUCAAAGAAUUCUAAAAUUGAUAAAGGAUACUAGUUGUACUCUAAAUGAGAAGAAAGAAAGAAAAUAACAUUCAGUGCAAACAUACAAAGAUCUGGAAAGAUUUUAAAUAUGUUUUAAUUCAAAUGACAAAACGUUUCAUGUGAUUCUGUGUAGUUAUCAUGUGCCAAAAUUGGAGUUAUUUUAUAUUUCAUGAAGAUAAUUUCAGUUUAAAUUAGACUAAGAUAAAAAUGUCCAGGAAUAAUAAUAAUGAUCUGUGACUAUGCGUGUAAUGGUAUACAUGUCAUACAUGUUUAUUGUUCCUUCUCAUAGCACUAAUAAUAAGCAGCAGCAGCAGCGUGAAGUACCACUACUAAACUAAACACUACCAUGAACUGAAGGCUCACCAAUCAGCUCUUUCACCUGUGUAUUGGAAUAGACCUGACACCGUUUCAGCCCAGAUUUAAAGAACAAGUGAAACUCAAACCACACUUUGUGUUAAUGCUUUUAAUGAUUAAGCAAUUCAAUUUAAAUGUAUAUUUCCAAAGCACUCUUGUUAUAUAUUUUUAUAUUAAUAUAUGCUUUGUUUUUACUUAAAGUAAAGUCUGUUUUUUGUCUGCUCACUGUACCAAAAUCAUGUUAAACAGUUGGCGUAUACCAAGAUGUGAACCAAACCAUUUUUUUUACUUUUACACCCUGUUACAUUAUAUGUUAUAUAAUGUUUCAUCUGUAGAUAUUUGGGGAAAUUAGGGUACUCCAGAACCAUGGUUAAGAAAAAAAAUACAGAACUGAAAAACUUAAGAUGAAUUGCACUAAUACUACGGUUAGUGUGUCAAAAAGCAUAGAUGACACUACAUCUGCUGUGAGUAAUGGUACAGAGGUGCAGAGAGCUGAAAAGCACAUUAAAAUGUGUCCAACAAAUCUCAAAAUAAGGUACAGCAAGAAAACUGUAUACAUGUAUUUGUACUACUGUAAUCCUACACUGCUGUAAUUGUAUUUUUAUAAUGGAUGAGGUACAUUUGCGACUAUUAACUGAAAUAAAAACAGCUGCCAUGAUUCCA
ensembl:lncRNA